rnacentral:rRNA from 1 species
CCAGACUCCUACGGGAGGCAGCAGUGGGGAAUAUUGGACAAUGGGGGCAACCCUGAUCCAGCCAUGCCGCGUGUGUGAAGAAGGCCUUUUGGUUGUAAAGCACUUUAAGCAGGGAGGAGAGGCUAAUGGUUAAUACCCAUUAGAUUAGACGUUACCUGCAGAAUAAGCACCGGCUAACUCUGUGCCAGCAGCCGCGGUAAUACAGAGAGUGCGAGCGUUAAUCGGAAUUACUGGGCGUAAAGCGAGUGUAGGUGGCUCAUUAAGUCACAUGUGAAAUCCCCGGGCUUAACCUGGGAACUGCAUGUGAUACUGGUGGUGCUAGAAUAUGUGAGAGGGAAGUAGAAUUCCAGGUGUAGCGGUGAAAUGCGUAGAGAUCUGGAGGAAUACCGAUGGCGAAGGCAGCUUCCUGGCAUAAUAUUGACACUGAGAUUCGAAAGCGUGGGUAGCAAACAGGAUUAGAUACCCUGGUAGUCCACGCCGUAAACGAUGUCUACUAGCCGUUGGGGUCCUUGAGACUUUAGUGGCGCAGUUAACGCGAUAAGUAGACCGCCUGGGGAGUACGGCCGCAAGGUUAAAACUCAAAUGAAUUGACGGGGGCCCGCACAAG